rnacentral:rRNA from 1 species
AAACCGUUGAAAGGGAAGCGAAUGGAGUUAGCAAUUCGCCCCGCCAGAUUCAGUCGCUCGCGCAUCGCGACGGUCGCGCUCUCGAUCCGCAUGGACGAGUCGCGCUCGGACGCGGUGCGCGGACGGCGCACUUCUGGCGAGCGAGCGUCAGCGUCGGUUGUCGACGGGCGAUAAGGUCGCAAGGAAGGUGGACCGGCCUCGCGGCUGGUUGUUAAGACUUGCGCUCGCAUAGCUCGUCGGCGACCGUGGUCUGCGGCGCGUGCUCGGCUGGCGACCCGACCGAUCGGUCCGGCAUGUCGACCGUGGCGGACGGCACGCCUGUGCGCUCGAACCGCUGCCUGUCGAUCGUGACGGUGUUCGCACACUACGCGCCUAGGAUGCUGACGACCAUACGGCUCCAUCCGACCCGUCUUGAAACACGGACCAAGGAGUCUAACAUGUGCGCGAGUCUCCGGGUGAUCGAAACCCGUGGGCGCAAUGAAAGUAAAGGCCGUCCUAGGACGGCUGAGGUGAGAAGCGGCGUUCACAUUCGUCGCCGCAUCAUCGACCGACCUUGUCUGCUCUCAGAGAGGUUUGAGUAAGAGCGUAUCUGUUGGGACCCGAAAGAUGGUGAACUAUGCCUGAAUAGGGUGAAGCCAGCGGAAACACUG